rnacentral:rRNA from 1 species
AACGGACGCUGGCGGCAUGCCUAACACAUGCAAGUCGAACGAGACCUUCGGGUCUAGUGGCGCACGGGUGCGUAACGCGUGGGAACCUGCCCUUAGGUUCGGAAUAACUCCCCGAAAGGGGUGCUAAUACCGGAUAAUGUCUUUGGACCAAAGAUUUAUCGCCUUUGGAUGGGCCCGCGUUGGAUUAGCUAGUUGGUAGGGUAAAAGCCUACCAAGGCGACGAUCCAUAGCUGGUCUGAGAGGAUGAUCAGCCACACUGGGACUGAGACACGGCCCAGACUCCUACGGGAGGAAGGAGUGGGGAAUAGUGGACAAUGGGCGAAAGCCUGAUCCAGCGAUGCCGCGUGAGUGAUGAAGGCCUUAGGGUUGUAAAGCUCUUUUAGCCGGGAUGAUAAUGACAGUACCGGGAGAAUAAGCUCCGGCUAACUCCGUG